CGAACGCUGGCGGCGUGCUUCAUACAUGCAAGUCGAACGAUAAGGCGUCUUCGGACGUACAUAAGUGGCGGACGGGUGAGUAACACGUAGGAAACCUGCCUUUGAGAGGGGGACAACAGAGGGAAACUUCUGCUAAUACCCCAUAUGAGCGUAGCUGAAAUGCUAUUCUUGAAAACUCCGGUGCUCAAAGAUGGGCCUGCGUCUGAUUAGUUAGUUGGCGGUGUAAUGGACCACCAAGGCGACGAUCAGUAGCUGGUUUGAGAGGAUGAUCAGCCACAAUGGGACUGAGACACGGCCCAUACUCCUACGGGAGGCAGCAGUAGGGAAUUUUGCGCAAUGGGCGAAAGCCCUGACGCAGCAACGCCGCGUGAACGUAGAAGCCCUUCGGGGUGUAAAGUUCUGUCAGAGGGGACGAAUUUUGACGGUACCCUCAGAGGAAGCACCGGCUAACUCCGUGCCAGCCGCAGC
rnacentral:rRNA from 1 species